rnacentral:rRNA from 1 species
ACGUCAGAACUGUUUCGGUCUUCCAUCAGGGUUUCCCCUGACUUCAACCUGAUCAAGUAUAGUUCACCAUCUUUCGGGUCACAGCAUAUAUGCUCAAGGUACGUUCCAGUUAGAGGCAUAAAUAAUAUAAAUAUUAUCAUACAUAACUAUAUAGAACGCCCCGGGAUUGUGUUAAUUAUCUAUAAAUAGUUAAAAAACUAAUCCCAUUAUUAGUCAAGUUAAUUACGCUAUUAGGUUU